rnacentral:rRNA from 1 species
UACGGGGGGAGCAAGCGUUGUUCGGAUUUACUGGGCGUAAAGGGCGCGUAGGCGGCCACCGCAAGUCGGUUGUGAAAUCUCUGGGCUUAACCCAGAAAGGUCAACCGAUACUGCGGGGCUAGAGUGCAGAAGGGGCAACUGGAAUUCUCGGUGUAGCGGUGAAAUGCGUAGAUAUCGAGAGGAACACCUGCGGCGAAGGCGGUUCUCUGGGCCUGACCUGACGCUGAGGAGCGAAAGCGUGGGGAGCGAACAGG